rnacentral:rRNA from 1 species
UACGGAGGGGGCUAGCGUUGUUCGGAAUUACUGGGCGUAAAGCGCACGUAGGCGGCUUUGUAAGUUAGAGGUGAAAGCCCGGGGCUCAACUCCGGAAUUGCCUUUAAGACUGCAUCGCUAGAAUUGUGGAGAGGUAAGAGGAAUUCCGAGUGUAGAGGUGAAAUUCGUAGAUAUCGGGAGGAACACCAGUGGCGAAGGCGGCGACCUGGGCCAAUACUGACACUGAGGUGCGAA